AGAACGAACGCUGGCGGCAUGCCUAAUACAUGCAAGUCGAACGAACUCUUCGGAGUUAGUGGCGCACGGGUGCGUAACGCGUGGGAAUCUGCCCCUUGGUUCGGAAUAACAGUUGGAAACGACUACUAAUACCGGAUGAUGACGAAAGUCCAAAGAUUUAUCGCCAAGGGAUGAGCCCGCGUAGGAUUAGCUAGUUGGUGAGGUAAAGGCUCACCAAGGCAACGAUCCUUAGCUGGUCUGAGAGGAUGAUCAGCCACACUGGGACUGAGACACGGCCCAGACCUCCGUACGGGAGGCAGCAGGUAGGGAAUAGUUGGAACAAGUGGGACGAAAGCCUAGAUCCAGCAAUCGCCGCGUGAGUGAGUGA
rnacentral:rRNA from 1 species